rnacentral:lncRNA from 1 species
GCUUCAUUCACCCUCCCAGCCGCCGCGCAGCCGCUCACUCCCGGCGCCGCUCCUCCGCUGCCGCCGCGGGCGCUGGCGGGGGCGCCGGCCCGGGCUGGGGCGCUCGCGGGCUCCGGGCUCCGGGCGGCGGCGGCUGCACAUGAUCAGGAAGCGGCCGCACCAACAGGGCGGCGGUGGCGGCGGCGGCGGCGGCGGCGGCGGCGGCGGAGGAGGAGGAGGAGGAGGAGGAGGCGGCAGGGCCGCCGCCGCCGCCGCUCCAGCCGCGCUCCCGGCACCCGCACGUCGGCUCCCCCCGCGCCCACCCCUCCGCGCCCCCCGCGCUCCCACCGCCCGGCGCCCGGCCGCGCGCAGAGUCCCGGGCCGCAGCCACACGCCGGGCGAGGCCGGCCUCCGCGGGGGACCCCCGCCCCGGGCUCAGGGGCCGGGCGGCCCUCGCGGGGGGCGGGGGGGAGGCCCGGCCCCCCUCCGGACCCACUGGCUCCGCCGCCCUCCCGGGGGCCCGGGCUGCGCAGGGGGCGGCGGGCGAGAGGGCAGCGCGACCCCCGGCCGCCGCCGCCGCCGCCGCCGCCGCCUCCAGGGAGGGGGACGCGGGUCUCCGCACUCGCGGCCGGCCCGGCAGCCCCGCCGCUCCCCCGCCCGCUCCCGCUCCCGCUCCCGCACCCCCAGCCCGGGCGCGCCCCCUCGCCGGGCGGGCGCCCACCGGCCCGGCAGCCCCCUGCCGUCAGUCCCUGCGCCCCGAGCGGGGGUGUCGGCCCGGGAGGCUGGAGCGGGAGAAGGCGGUAUGUACACACACACACACACACACACACACACACACACGACACAGCACGACGCGUCGAUUUCCUUCGCUCCUCUUCCAGCUGUUUUCUGUGCCGGCGACUGGGGUUUGGGGUUUGUUUGCUGGUUGUUGCUUUUGCCCCUCUCUGGAGAGCGGGGGUCUGGAAAUCCGCUCGGUAGCGCCCAGCCCCAGCCUCGGAAGACGACCCGCGCGCUGCUCUCGCGGCUCAUUCGGAUCAUUAAUUUAAUCGGAAAUGAGGUAACCGGUGCAGGAGACACAGAAAGCAAACCGAACGUCAAAUGGCAGUUCUCGGGGAUCCACGCUGGGGAACUUCCUCCGCGCUCGGCCCCCCGGCGCGGGUCCCCGCGGCCCACCGCCCCGCCCCCUCCGCGCGUGCCGCCGCCAGGUGUUAGCUGGGUGGCGAGGAGCCUGCUGUCGAGGGGUGCACCUUGCCAACAGGUGUGGCACCUGGAGGAAGCGCAGUGA